rnacentral:lncRNA from 1 species
GCAAAAGAACACUUCACCACUUUCUCUAAUCUUGGCAACAAGAAAGACGCUAGCAGCCUUAGGAGCUUGUGGAUUUGCUCGGUUUGGUGCAUCUGGAACUUGAGAAAUGAGUGCAAAUUCAGCAACUCUUCCUGGAGCAAGGAAAACUUGGUAAGAGAAAUCAAAACAAGAACUUGGACAUGGAGAUCGGCUUUUGGCUCGGAACCUGCAACGAGAGAUUUUAAAGCUUGGAUGCUCUCCUUUCGUUAGUUUUCUGCUUGUUGUUGGUUUGCUCCCGGAGACUU